rnacentral:lncRNA from 1 species
UGGGAGGAGCCGGGAUCGUGCUCCAACAAUCCCAAACCUAAGAAUCCCCUCCUAGAUCUCCACCGACGUCAAAACCACACAAAACCUUGGAUCAUCAUCCCAAAUCCUUAAGCAAUCUCUCUCCCUCUCACGACUUACCCUCUUGAUCUCUACCAAAUUUCAAACCCUAACUUACAAAAUCCACGAAAAACACUCCUAAACCCUCCUCUCCUC